rnacentral:lncRNA from 1 species
UCAGCUUACUUAAUUGAUCCACUUAGGCUGAGCUCAGGUAGCUCUGCCAGCAAGAUAUGGGUGCUGUUUCCAGAAACAAAUAUAGAAUAGAAUUAGAAUAAACAAAAAUACCACAUCUCCACCAUGGGCAUUUCUCUUCCCUAGGCAGUUGACCAGAGGCUAUAUGAUAAACUGAUGGGAUAAACUGAUCCAGAUUGCAAUGAUUUAUUGAGAAAUGCCAUGCCUAUUCAAAUCACUCUAUUCAAACUGACAACAAUUUAUAAAACUUGACUAUAUCCAAAAGCCAGCACUCCAGUGAAAGGGUAAUGCAAUGUAUUAUUAAUACAUCUUAAUAAUUAAUAACUACUCUUAGGGAUACCCUGCUCUUCGCUUAGCAGAAGAUGUUAGAUGAUAGACGAGCAAUUGAUCAAAAGGUCAGAGGGUCACAGGCAUUUGUGUGAUGUAGCAAGCACUGGAGAACUGCUGUGAAUAUCCCAGGAAUUUUCUGUAGGUAUCAAUAAAGCAAGAUUUUGGUUCCCAAACACUGACCCGACUUCUAGUUUGGCGAACUUUGUAUUUUCCAUUCACAUUUAGCUUCCAGUAUUUUCAAAUGGAGGUUAAUGGAAGGAGAUGACCCAAAGGAUAAGGAUGGGAAAGAGAAUUUCUUCACCACACACCCUGCGAUGCACACGUACACGGUGAUGAAAAAAGCCCGAUGAAUGUGAAGUUCUGUUACCUCAAGAGGCUAUAUACAGGUUGUGUAAAGAGAGGAGGAUCUGAUUUCAGAUCUCACCUGUACGCAUAUAUCCCAGGGAAUUCAGGAAGUUCAGAUUUGGACAUGACCAAUAUGAGCAUCUGCUACACUCCAGGCCUGUGCCCAGUGCCUUCCCAAGCAUGGUCUUACUCAGCCCUCAAGAGUAUUCUGGAAGAUGGGUGAUCAUUUCCCUUUCCUAAACGAGAGGAAAUUGAGGUCAGAAAGAUCAAGAUCACAGGACUUCUUGGUGGUGAGUGGGGAAAUGGACCCACAUCUUCUCUCUUUCUGUGGUAUCCCUCUCUUUCUAAGGCAAAAUGCACCUUCAAUGCAGCUGGAUUUUUUUCAUCUAAUACAGAUAAUGAUUUUUCUUUUAAGUUUUGAAAAACACAAGCAUGGUUUUACUUGAUUAGAGCAAAAAUUCUGAACACUGAUCUUUCCCUUUCUUAGGAAGGUAUGCUGCAAAGUUACAAAGACUUAGAAUCUGGAAGGUGGCAACUUCCAUAAAAUUGGAGCUAAUGACUGAUGCUUGCUACUAAUAAGCAUUGUAUUUUGACUACUAUCCAGUGCUCCAGGAUAGUAAAUUGGAGGUUAAGCUAGAAGGAAGCAGCAAACAGCAUGUGCUGUGAGCUGCAAGGACUUAGAUGUGAAGACAGUCAUAAUUAUAACUGGCAUAACUUUGGAUAAGUUACUCAACCCUACUGAGGCUCAUUUAUGGAAUACAAAUAAUAAAAAUAAUGCCUACCAACCAGGAUUAUUCUGAGUAGAUAAUAUACAUAAGGUACUUACUGCAAAGCCAGGCCCAUAGUGAGGAUAUCAUAAAUGAUGAUUUUAUUAGUAAUACUAAUAGUAUUAAAAAUACUAAUAGUAUUGACUAGUAGUGUUCUUUAAGGUUGAUCAGUGGUAAGUUCCUUUGGUUGGAGGAGGGAAAUACAUUCAUUUAGUUCAAAGGAAUAUGAGAUGCUAACUCUGUGAAUUCUUGGAAGGUAGUGGGUGUAACAGAAAGGCACUGAGGAGGAGACAGGAGUGCAUUACAGCAUUGGGACCACACAUUUGAGGUGAGUCAAGGGCAGAGCUGUUAUCCAAGAUGGAGCUUGCCUGACCCAGAUACACGGAGUGGUAGCAAAUCAUAGUCACAACAAAGCUUUUAUAAGUACAUAAACAGAAAUUAAGGGUGGAGAAACACAGGGACUCUUUAGAUUCAACCUAGGGAAGGGAUAGGUCCAAUUCAGGGUAGAGUCUAGAGAAGACUUUAGUUC